rnacentral:rRNA from 1 species
GACGAACGCUGGCGGCGUGCUUAACACAUGCAAGUCGAACGGAGAGGCCGUGCGUUUGCGCGGUGCGGGAGUGGCGAGAGGGUGAGAAAAACGCGAGAGAAAUGCCCUUCGCUUUGGGAUAAAUUCGGGAAAAUGGGGCUAUAACAGGGGAGAAGACCCGGGUGCGCGGCGGGGGUGGGAGGGUAUCACGGCGGUUGGGGAUGCGCUCGCGGCCUAUCAGCUUGUUGGUGGGGUAGUGGCUCACCAAGGCUGCGACGGGUAGCCGGCCUGAGAGGGUGACCGGCCACACUGGGACUGAGAUACGGCCCAGACUCCUACGGGAGGCAGCAGUGGGGAAUAUUGCACAAUGGGCGGAAGCCUGAUGCAGCAACGCCGCGUGAGGGAUGACGGCCUUCGGGUUGUAAACCUCUUUCGCCUGGGACGAAGCGAGAGUGACGGUAAUUGGUAAAGAAGCACCGGCUAACUACGUG